UACGGGGGGAGCAAGCGUUGUUCGGAUUUACUGGGCGUAAAGGGCGCGUAGGCGGUCAGCACAAGUCAGUUGUGAAAUCUCCGGGCUUAACUCGGAAAGGUCAACUGAUACUGUGCGACUAGAGUGCAGAAGGGGCAACUGGAAUUCUCGGUGUAGCGGUGAAAUGCGUAGAGAUGUGGAGGAACACCGAUGGCGAAGGCAGCCCCCUGGGCCGACACUGACGCUCAGGCACGAAAGCGUGGGGAGCAAACAGG
rnacentral:rRNA from 1 species